CACAAAUAACUCCCCAUUGUCUACAUACCAAUGUAACAAGCGGAGUUCACCUUGGGUCUUGCCAAAAGUUCAUUUCUAGUGACCCUGCCCAGCUGGCCCAGGAGAUGCUGUGGUUCCACAUUCCUUGGUGGCUUGCUGGAAGAACUGGGAGAACUGCCUGGCAGUAGGGGUUAGAGAGAAGCUCUAAAUCUCAUGGUCUCUGAAUCACGAACCUGAUUUGCAGACACUGAGCAGGUGUUGGAGACAGAAAGAGCCCCAUCUGGGUGAAGCGUCCUCCUGCUGGCAUCGCCAUGGCCACCACGCUCCUCUGCUGUGUGGCCCUGUGUCUCCUGGGAGUAGGGCCCACAGAUGCUGGAGUCACCCAGAUCCCCAGGCAUGAGAGGGAGCCACUGAGACCGUGGACGCCUGCUCACAGGGUGAUGUCAGCGCCAGCCCACAUAGGGACCCCGGGACAUGGAUCUGCUUUCAUUUCUGCUCCUACACGCAAGUUCCCUCAUCCAGAAAAGCUCUCAUCUUCCUCUGGAUCCUGCCAUGCUCUCCAGUCUUCUCCGCUUCGCGUCGCUGUGUCUCCUGGGAGCAAGGUACAUAUCAGCUGAAGUCGCCCAGUCCCCCAGCCACAGGGUCAUAGAGAAGAAGCAGGCUGUGAAUCUGAGUUGUGACCCUAUUUCUGGACAUGAGUCCCUCUUUUGGUACUACCAUGCUGUGGGGAAAGAAAUGAAG